CAAAGAGGAACAUAAAGACAUUAUGAUGAGAAUCAUCACCAGGAUCAUUCUUCUGCUUCUCUGCUUCUGUCCUUCAUUGUGCACAAGAGUUCAGCAGGUUCCAUCAUCAAUAUUAGGAAGUAUUCAUGGUGAAACAAGAAUCAGCUGCAACCAUUCAGAGAGUACAUACAACGUAAUAUUGUGGUACCAGAAGCCAAGGGGUGACUCUGCUCUUAAACUGAUUGGAUAUAUUUUAUAUGGAAACCCAACCAUUGAGGAUGGAUUCCAAGAAUCUUUCAAAAUUAGUGGAGAUGGGUCAGUAAAAUCUCAGCUUGAAGUGGAGAAACUCAAAGCUGAAGACAGCGGUAGUUAUUACUGUGCAGCUAGUAUACACAGUGAGCUAGUUAACGUCUUGCUUUUACAAAAACCCUACAUGAUAUUACGCCACAUAAAUAAGUAGCAAGGAAGAGCGCACCUGCAUCUAGCUGCUGUUUAUGGCAGGAAAUCACCAGUGAUAUCAGCCAUAAAACCAUCUCUUCCUGUGUUAGCCCACACAGAAGAAUGCAUUGAUGAUGAAGUGACACACAUAAUGUAGAUCCCGCCUCUUCCUUUACAUUCAGGCAGCUCUGUUCAUAUUCGUCACACCUUUGUUUUCAUCAAUGUAAGGAUCAUGAUCAGACUUAUCAUCCAUUUUGGAACGCUGUCGUUCUGUUUAACAGAAGUCCCAAAAUCUGGCGUUCAUCAGACUCCAGCUGCCCUCAUUAAGACCCCAGGAGAGGAAAUCCAAAUAAACUGCAACCAUUCAAACACUAAACUUGAUAUGAUACAGUGGUACAAGCAGUCUCCGGGGAAAAAUGAAAUGAUUCUACUCGGUUAUGCACAAUUUACCUUUACAGCUGUUGAAGAUGCAUUUGAAAACAUUUAUAAAGUGACAGGUGAAGGAAGUAAGCUGUCAACUUUUCACAUUCCAAAGCUGAGAGAGUCUGUGGACAGUGCCAUGUAUUUCUGUGCUGCCAGCGCUGCACAGUGUUGCAUCUACUAUCCUUCUUCAACAAAAACCUUCUCUAAUGCAGACAGCAGCAGUUAUUCUGGAGAGCACCAAAUAAACCACAUAUCAGUGACUGCUCACACAGCUGUCAUGCCAUGAA
ensembl:lncRNA